rnacentral:rRNA from 1 species
AGUGAACGCUGGCGGUAGGCCUAACACAUGCCAGUCGAACGGCAGCACAGUAAGAGCUUGCUCUUACGGGUGGCGAGUGGCGGACGGGUGAGGAAUACAUCGGAAUCUACUUUUUCGUGGGGGAUAACGUAGGGAAACUUACGCUAAUACCGCAUACGACCUACGGGUGAAAGCAGGGGAUCUUCGGACCUUGCGCGAUUGAAUAAGCCGAUGUCGGAUUAGCUAGUUGGCGGGGUAAAGGCCCACCAAGGCGACGAUCCGUAGCUGGUCUGAGAGGAUGAUCAGCCACACUGGAACUGAGACACGGUCCAGACUCCUACGGGAGGCAGCAGUGGGGAAUAUUGGACAAUGGGCGCAAGCCUGAUCCAGCCAUACCGCGUGGGUGAAGAAGGCCUUCGGGUUGUAAAGCCCUUUUGUUGGGAAAGAAAAGCAGCAGGUUAAUACCCCGCUGUUCUGACGGUACCCAAAGAAUAAGCACCGGCUAACUUCGUG